UACGGAGGAUGCGAGCGUUAUCCGGAUUUAUUGGGUUUAAAGGGUGCGUAGGCGGGCUGUUAAGUCAGCGGUCAAAUGUCGGGGCUCAACUCCGGGACUGCUUUUGAAACUGUAUGGCUAGAUUGCAGGAGAGGCAAGUGGAAUUCCUAGUGUAGCGGUGAAAUGCGUAGAUAUUAGGAGGAACACCAGUGGCGAAGGCGGCUUGCUGGACUGUAAAUGACGCUGAGGCUCGAAAGCGUGGGGAGCAAACAGG
rnacentral:rRNA from 1 species